UGUUGUCAAAAAAUCUUUAAUGAGAUACACAAUCAAACAGAAAAUCACUUCACUAUACUUUACUAUCUUUCUCAAGAAUUGAUUAUAAUAAUGUACAAAAUUUUUUUUUUUACAAAAAACAUGCCACUUUAUACAGGCCCUGCUGGAAGAUCCUAAAAUUUCUGUUUGUGCCUUGGGGGAACUAAUUAUCUAAUUCAAGCCAAUUAAAUGAUUGUAAACAUUAAAGCUCCUGGAAAGUUUCUGUUUCUACCUCUUAGAUGGGAACAAAGGGAAUGUUAACCAAAGUGAAUGGGGUCAAUAGCACCUAGAAGGCAAUAGAGAUAAGAACAGGAUCCAUACAGUCUAAACAAAUUACCUAGGGCUUUGGAAGGCCAGCACUGGGUCACCCAGCCAAAAUUUGUUAUAGGUUACCAUGUUUCCCCGAUAAUAAGACCUAUCACGAAAAUAAGCCCUCCCCUUACUGUGUAAGAUUCCUCUAAAAUAAGCCCUCCCCCCAAAAUAAACCCUAUUGAGAUUGCUACCGUAGUGAAGGUGAUCCCCUGCGCUACACGCUACAUUACGGUACCCUCUGUAUGCACCGUCCCUCCCCUCCCCGCCCCGGGUGAAACGCACGCCAUGUUCCGAGCUGCAUCCAAUCAGAGCUGCAGCAGUGAGCGCGUCAUCCUGUUCUUCCCCAGUGAUUUGCUUGCUGGCGCCAUUGAGAGCAGUGCCGCGGAGGAGAGCUGAGGCAGGACAACAUAAACAUUCGGUAUGUAAGCGGGAGUGAGGGGGCAUGAUGGAGGAUAAAAGGGGCAAGAUGGAGGAUAAAAGAAGAACUCAGGGGGCAUCAUGGAGGAUAGAAGGAGCACUCAGGGAGCAUGAUGGGGUUAAAACAUUAUUGAGGGGCAUGAUGGAGUGAAAAGAAGGACUAAUGGUCAUAAUUUUAUUAUCCUGACUGCACAGGUCACCUAUGUUUUGGCAAUUCGUUUGGAUGGAAAGAAAGCCACACCUCUAAUCAUCAGCAAGGGCAAGAAAGAUAAGAUUGAACGUGUAUCAGGCAUUUAUAUUCUUGGAACCGAAAAAGCCUGGUGUACACAAGCCGUUAUAAGAAAGUGGGUUGAUUUAAUACUGCCACUUGUUAUGCGAGGUAACCAAAGAGGUCUGAUAAUCUGGGAUUCAGCCAGCACUCACCGCGCUAAAGAAAUGAAGAACUUCCUUGCAGAGAGAAGAAUAGAUCAAGUAAUGAUUCCUGCAGGAAUGACUGCCUAUCUCCACACCUUGAUAUUGCAAUAAACAAGCCAUUCAAGGACCAUUUGCACAUGGAAGUCAAUGACUACAUUGAAAAUAGAAUGGAAAGAAAUCAGCGUGGAAACUUUGUGAAGCCCUGUCUGCAAGAAGUCGUGACUUGGGUGAAGAAGUCAUGGGAUAAAAUUACUGACAGCUGUGUCGCCAAGGCACUACGAGCAGGUUACCUGGACAAGACAUGUUCAUUUAAAGAGAGCUAUAUUGCCGGACAUGACAGAUUGGGUCCACUUCUUCUGAAGGAAAUAGAGGCACAAGACAUCCAGGAUGGAAUUCAGGGUAUGGACACUUAUGAUGAUGUUGUUGAAGAAGAUGACAUGAUCAUUAUUGAAUAAAGGGCAAAGGAGAGCAAUAGAUACUGUUGAGAAGAAGGAGGAAGAAGAGGAUGGGGGAAAGGAGGUGGAAGUGGAGAAAGAGAAAGGGGAGGAAGAAGAGAAGGAAAAGAAGAGGAACAAUAAAAGAAGAAGAAAAGAGGAUCAUUAAAAAUUCUCAAAAUCACUAUUGAUUAGAGAAAUGCAAAUUAAAACAAUUCUCAAGUACCAUCUCACACCUCUCAGAUCACCUAAAAUGACAGGAAAAGAUCCCCACUGGAAGGGAUAUGUAGGAAAGCCGGGACACUAAUUCAUUGUUGGUGGAAUUGUGAAAUGAUCUAACCAUUCUGGAGAGCUAUUUGGAACUAUCCAAAGGGCUAUAAAACUGCAUACCCUUUGACCCCACAAUGCCAUUAGUGAGUUUGCAUCUCAAGGAAAUCAUAAAGGAGGGUAAAGGACCCACAUAUGCAAAAUUAUUUGUAACAGCUCUUUUUGUGGUAGCAAAGAAUUGGAAAAUGAAUAGAUGCCCCUCAAUUGCGGGAUGCCUGAAUAAAUUGUAGUAUAUGAAGAUAAUGGAAUGUUUUUGUUCUAUAAAAAAUGAUGAAGCUGAUUUUAGAAAGUCCUGGAAAGAUUUACAUGAAUUGAUGCUGAGUGAAACAAGCAGAACUAGGAACACAUUGUACACAAUAACAGCAAAAAUGUGUGAUGAUCAACUAUGAAAGACUUGGUUCUUAGUAGCUCAGUGAUCCAAAGCAAUCCCAAAAGACUUUGGACAGAAAAUGCCAUCUGCCACCAUAAAAAGAACUAAGGAGACUGAAUGUAAAUCACCACAUACUAUGUUCACUUCUUUUUUUUGUUUUGUUUUUUUUCUCUCUCCCAUGGUUUUUCCCUUUUGCUCUGAUUUUUGUCUCCCAAUAUGAAUCAUAAAAUGAUGUAUAUUAAAAAUAAAUAAAUUUGCUAGGAAAAAAAAAAAGAAAA